AGUUGCUCUCUCCUUUUUCCCCACCAACAGCAGCAUUUUUUGCUGCAUUUUGUUUCCUCCAACAGCAGCCCUAGCUGCUGCCCUAUUCUUGGCAGUACCGUUGGAGUUCGCCGGAGCUCGCCGGAGCUAGUUGAGGUGGCCAACGACAAAGGGAAAGCAACCCUAGUUGCUGUCCUCAUUUCCAGCAGCCACACAAAACCCUUAGAAGAUCCGAGCUCGAGUGGAGCACGGUGACCUGCCGAUACUCGGAGAUUUUUUGCUGUAUAUAAGUUUUGCAGACACAGGGAUCCUUUUGAUAUUACUGUUGAUUUUGGACUUUCGUAGAGUUG